UACGUAGGGUGCAAGCGUUAAUCGGAAUUACUGGGCGUAAAGCGUGCGCAGGCGGUUAUGCAAGACAGGUGUGAAAUCCCCGGGCUUAACCUGGGAACUGCAUUUGUGACUGCAUAGCUGGAGUACGGCAGAGGGGGAUGGAAUUCCGCGUGUAGCAGUGAAAUGCGUAGAUAUGCGGAGGAACACCGAUGGCGAAGGCAGUCCCCUGGGCCUGUACUGACGCUCAUGCACGAAAGCGUGGGGAGCAAACAGG
rnacentral:rRNA from 1 species